AGCGAACGCUGGCGGCAGGCUUAACACAUGCAAGUCGAACGGGCAUCUUCGGAUGUCAGCGGCAGACGGGUGAGUAACACGUGGGAACGUACCCCUCGGUUCGGAACAACUCUGGGAAACUGGAGCUAAUACCGGAUACGCCCUUAUGGGGAAAGGUUUACUGCCGAAGGAUCGGCCCGCGUCUGAUUAGCUAGUUGGUGGGGUAACGGCCUACCAAGGCGACGAUCAGUAGCUGGUCUGAGAGGAUGAUCAGCCACACUGGGACUGAGACACGGCCCAGACUCCUACGGGAGGCAGCAGUGGGGAAUAUUGGACAAUGGGCGCAAGCCUGAUCCAGCCAUGCCGCGUGAGUGAUGAAGGCCUUAGGGUUGUAAAGCUCUUUUGUCCGGGACGAUAAUGACGGUACCGGAAGAAUAAGCCCCGGCUAACUUCGUG
rnacentral:rRNA from 1 species